AAGUCGUAACAAGGUAACCGUAGGUGAACCUGCGGUUGGAUCAUUACUAAAUGAUUUUCACUAGGCUUUUGAACUCGCAAGAGAUCGAGCCUAGUGUCUUUACACCCUGUGAACUUUAUCGUUUUUCGAGUGAGCUUUCGAUAGGGAUUUCCCUAGAGAUAUGCUUGCUCGGCCGUAACAAACCCCUUUUAAACUUGACUGAAUUUUUUAUUAUAUAAAAGAUAAACAACUUUUGACAACGGAUCUCUUGGCUCUC
rnacentral:misc_RNA from 1 species